rnacentral:rRNA from 1 species
UACGUAGGGUGCAAGCGUUGUCCGGAAUUAUUGGGCGUAAAGAGCUCGUAGGCGGUCUGUUGCGUCGGCUGUGAAAACCCGAGGCUCAACCUCGGGCCUGCAGCCGAUACGGGCAGACUAGAGUUCGGCAGGGGAGACUGGAAUUCCUGGUGUAGCGGUGAAAUGCGCAGAUAUCAGGAGGAACACCGGUGGGCGAAGGCGGGUCUCUGGGCCGGAUACUGACG